rnacentral:rRNA from 1 species
UACAGAGGGUGCAAGCGUUAAUCGGAAUUACUGGGCGUAAAGCGUACGUAGACGGUUGGAUAAGUCGGGUGUGAAAGCCCCGGGCUCAACCUGGGAAUUGCAUUCGAGACUGUUCAGCUAGGGUGCGGAAGAGGGAAGCGGAAUUUCCGGUGUAGCGGUGAAAUGCGUAGAUAUCGGAAGGAACACCAGUGGCGAAAGCGGCUUCCUGGUCCAGCACCGACGUUCAGGCACGAAAGCGUGGGGAGCAAACAGG